GCGGAGCAGAGCUGUCCUUGCGCCCCGGUCAGGCUGUGCGCUGCUUCCUCCAGGGGCGGCUUGGGUGCGGCUCGGUUGCGAGCAGAGCCCGCCGGUCGCCUCGGGAGGAGGCCAGGAACAGCCGGCGGACCCGCAGAGACCAGGGCCGGGCGCCGGGAGCCUCUCCCUGCACGACUUACCCUGCAGCGCCCUUUCGAGGAGAUGCACCUUAAGAGGCGUACGUGUACAAAACCAGCUCCAGCACUUUCUGCUGCAGACUGGCAGGACGCAUGGACACGGUCACGGCCGUGGCCUUCAGCCCGGCUGCUGCCCAGUUUGAAGCUUUGAUUCCGAGAGCGCCACUGCCGUGUGACUGCGCACGCGAGUGUGCGUGUGUACCACGUGGAGCUGUACCGUCGAUGCUGUUUUCCGUACCUGCUUCCUUUCCCUGACACUGGAUUGCUGCGGUCCAGGGCGUGUUAUGGUGCCUGGCAACGUAGUUUACCUUCCAUUUGUAUUGAAUUUUGGAAAAAUGAAUAAAUGAAGCUUGUGUCCUUGACUAUAGAGCUUCCAUCGCUGUCGCCUGAAGUCUUCUUUGUACCCCAUCCAUCAUUAACCCUAAUUUGACCUUUGCAUCCUCUGCUGAUGGGUACUUAGGUUUAAAUUUUUCUAUCCUCUUAUAAACAAUACUGGGAUGUACACUUGA
rnacentral:lncRNA from 1 species